rnacentral:rRNA from 1 species
UCAGGAUGAACGCUAGCGGCAGGCUUAACACAUGCAAGUCGAGGGGUAUAGUUCUUCGGAACUAGAGACCGGCGCACGGGUGCGUAACGCGUAUGCAAUCUACCUUUUACAGAGGGAUAGCCCAGAGAAAUUUGGAUUAAUACCUCAUAGUAUUAUCAAUCGGCAUCGAUUAAUAAUUAAAGUUCCAACGGUAAAAGAUGAGCAUGCGUCCCAUUAGCUAGAUGGUAAGGUAACGGCUUACCAUGGCUACGAUGGGUAGGGGUCCUGAGAGGGAGAUCCCCCACACUGGUACUGAGACACGGACCAGACUCCUACGGGAGGCAGCAGUGAGGAAUAUUGGACAAUGGGCGCAAGCCUGAUCCAGCCAUGCCGCGUGCAGGAUGACGGUCCUAUGGAUUGUAAACUGCUUUUGUACAGGAAGAAACACCCCGACGUGUCGGGACUUGACGGUACUGUAAGAAUAAGGAUCGGCUAACUCCGUGCCAGCAGCCGCGGUAAUACGGAGGAUCCAAGCGUUAUCCGGAAUCAUUGGGUUUAAAGGGUCCGUAGGCGGUUUAAUAAGUCAGUGGUGAAAGCCCAUCGCUCAACGGUGGAACGGCCAUUGAUACUGUUAAACUUGAAUUAUUAGGAAGUAACUAGAAUAUGUAGUGUAGCGGUGAAAUGCUUAGAGAUUACAUGGAAUACCAAUUGCGAAGGCAGGUUACUACUAAUGGAUUGACGCUGAUGGACGAAAGCGUGGGUAGCGAACAGGAUUAGAUACCCUGGUAGUCCACGCCGUAAACGAUGGAUACUAGCUGUUGGGAGCAAUCUCAGUGGCUAAGCGAAAGUGAUAAGUAUCCCA